rnacentral:lncRNA from 1 species
AGAUAAGUGCAUGAUGGAACAAUAGGACUCCCCAGGGCUGAAGCUGGGAUCCCGGCCAGCCAGGUGACCCCCACGCUCUGGAUGUCUCUGCUCUGUUCCUUCCCCGAGCCCCUGCCCCGGCUCCCCGCCAAAGCACCCCUGCCCACUCGGGCUUCAUCCUGCAAAAUAAACUCCGGAAGCAAGUCAGUAGGGCUGGCUCCUGGCUGUCUGUGCUGUCAUCACCUGUCCUGGGCCUGGCCCUGGCCACCCGGACCUCCCCCUCUAAAAUCUCAGCCUGACGUCAACAAAGGAACAGGCCCUCUAGUGUUUGCUCCCAGUGGGGUCUUGAGUCAGGACAGCUAGGAGGGGGUGUCCCUCACUGUCUCCCACCCACCCCACACAGUCGUGUGCCCCUGCCCCACAGCCCCACACGUCGGGCCAUACCCCCUCAGCUGCCACUGCCACCAGGCCGGUGCUGAGCUGGGGGUCAGUGACUCAUCUAAUCCCUUAGGCAGGUGCCCUGCACCCCCAACCCCACCCUGUCACCCCCUCAGCAGGAAAGGCCUGAGGCUCGAGGCCCCAGAGGAGCUUUGGACCUGUUGGGUAUCUUGAGGUGUGGGAUUAACGCACUGAGAUUGGGCAGAGAUAAGGGUUUCAGGGGACAAAAAGAAACAUUGA